rnacentral:rRNA from 1 species
AGUGAACGCUGGCGGUAGGCCUAACACAUGCAAGUCGAACGGCAGCACAGUAAGAGCUUGCUCUUACGGGUGGCGAGUGGCGGACGGGUGAGGAAUACAUCGGAAUCUACUUUUUCGUGGGGGAUAACGUAGGGAAACUUACGCUAAUACCGCAUACGACCUACGGGUGAAAGCAGGGGAUCUUCGGACCUUGCGCGAUUGAAUGAGCCGAUGUCGGAUUAGCUAGUUGGCGGGGUAAAGGCCCACCAAGGCGACGAUCCGUAGCUGGUCUGAGAGGAUGAACCGCCACUCUGGACCUGAGACCCGGUCCAGCCUCCUACGGGGGGCAGCGGUGGGGAAUUUUGGACAAGGGGCGCAAGCCUGAUCCAGCCAUCCCGGGUGGGUGAAGAAGGCCUUCGGGUUGUAAAGCCCUUUUUGUGGGAAAAAAAAGCAGCAGGUUAAACCCCCGCUGUUCUGCCGGUACCCAAAAAAUAAGCACCGGCUACCUUCGU